GAUGAACGCUGGCGGCGUGCCUAACACAUGCAAGUCGAACGAAGCACUGAAAACGGAGAUUCGUCGAAGUUUCUUUGACUUAGUGGCGGACGGGUGAGUAAUGCGUGAGCAACCUGCCUUUCAGAGGGGGACAACAGUUGGAAACGACUGCUAAUACCGCAUAACGUAUUUUGGGGGCAUCCCUGAGAUACCAAAGGAGCAAUCCGCUGAAAGAUGGGCUCACGUCUGAUUAGCUAGUUGGUGGGGUAACGGCUCACCAAGGCUGCGAUCAGUAGCCGGACUGAGAGGUUGAACGGCCACAUUGGGACUGAGAUACGGCCCAGACUCCUACGGGAGGCAGCAGUGGGGAAUAUUGCACAAUGGGGGAAACCCUGAUGCAGCAACGCCGCGUGAGUGAAGAAGUAUUUCGGUAUGUAAAGCUCUAUCAGCAGGAAAGAAAAUGACGGUACCUGACUAAGAAGCCCCGGCUAACUACGUG
rnacentral:rRNA from 1 species